rnacentral:rRNA from 1 species
CGGCUUCCUACGGGAGGCAGCAGUGAGGAAUAUUGCGCAAUGGGCGAAAGCCUGACGCAGCGACGCCGCGUGAAGGAUGAAGGCCUUAGGGUCGUAAACUUCUGUUAAGUGGGAAGAAAAGCCAAGCUCUAAUACAGCUUGGUAAUGACGGUACCACUAGAGAAAGCACCGGCUAACUUCGUGCCAGCAGCCGCGGUAAUACGAGGGGUGCUAGCGUUAUUCGGAAUUAUUGGGCGUAAAGGGUGCGUAGACGGCGCAUUAAGUCACCUGUUAAAUUCUUCGGCUCAACCGAAGAUCUGCGGGCGAUACUGAUGUGCUAGAGGAUGGAAGAGAGAAGUGGAAUUCUCGGAGUAGCGGUAAAAUGCGUAGAUCUCGAGAGGAACACCGAUGGCGAAGGCAGCUUCUUGGUCCAUUCCUGACGUUGAGGCACGAAAGCGUGGGGAGCAAACAGGAUUAGAUACCCCAGUAGUCCAAGC